ACACACGGAGCUACCGAGAGCCACAAGCUGGAAGCAAGUGAGCCGAGCGCAGGUGGGCGGACGCAACGAUGAUGGUGGUGGCAACUACGAGCCCCGACGGGCUAGAGGCGCUGCAGGUGCGCGAGGUCGAGGAUCUCUCGGCGCCGGGGGAGGGCAAGCUGCUUGUCGGGGUGGCCGCUGCCGGCGUCAAUCGCGGCGACACGGUCCAGCGGCAGGGCCGGUACUCGCCGCCGGUCGGCGCCUCCCCCUACCCGAGGCUUGAGUGCUCCGGCACCAUCGUCGCGCUCGGGGCCAACACCCCCCGCGCUGGGCCGUCGGUAUCAGGUGUACGCGCUGCUUACCGGCGGCGGGUAUGCAGAGAAGGUUGUGGUUCUGGCAGGGCAACUACUACCGACGACAGAGGAGGGUCGCUGACUAAUAGCCGCCAGCUUGCCUGAGGUGGCCAGCACCGUCUGGUCCACCGUCUUCAUGCCAGUCACCUCUCCCCCGGUGAAUCCUUCCUUAUCCAUGGUGGAUCUAGUGGAAUCAGUACAUUCACUAUACAGAAUGCAAAGCACCUUGGAAAUGUACACAUGAGACAUCAUUCUUUGAUUCAGAUGAAAUUUCCGACAUCAGAGACACGUAUUUUGUUAAUCAGGUGCUGAAGGUAUGAUCGGGAAACAAAGAAGAUAUGUAACUUAAUAAUUAGCAGUUUCAUUUUGAUAAACUGUGCGAAAACACUUAUUUUCCAGGAAUCUAGCUCAAUGUAAACAUGCUGAGUAGUUUUUUCACAUCCAAUUUGUACAAUUGCAGAAAAGAUCAAUCCUCUCCAUUCGAAGGUAGGUUAUGCACAUAGAUUUGUUCUUACCUUGCAAGCAUCGUUGGAUGAAGAGAGUAGGGAUGAUCAUGGACAAACGCAAUGAGUGCUCAACGCAUCUAGGCAAACGCUGCACUUCAUGCCCCUGUUUCGCUGCCAUCCUUAUCUUGCCUCUCCUAGAUCUGGCUCCCCAAAGUGUUGUCUUGCUGUCCCUCCCUGGGUUGCCUCGAUCUUGCAAGAGAGGAGGAUGGGAGGGCGGUGGCUAGAGUCGGCAGUGGCUAAAGGGAACGCUGGAGAAGGGCAAGCAAUGGAACCGUGAAGGGCGGGUCGGCGAGGAAUCCCGCACUGCGCGACGCAUGGGGUGAGCAGCGAAGGAGGUUUGGGGUGGCACCCGAAAGGAUUGGAAGAGGAUGCGGAGGCGGCGGAUGGCUGGAGAAGAAGACCGGCUGCGCGGCCGCGCAUGGCGGCGGCGGCUGCACCGUACCCGUACGCGAGGAAGAGAGCCCGUGCUCAUGCCUGUGUGUGGUCUUUGUUUAGCAAUUCAAAAUAGGACAGCGGGUAGAAUAAUAAACAAUGCAGUGACCUUUUUGUAAGUACGAAACGUUUUUUCGAUUGACCACUUAAAAUACGACUGUGGGUUGAAUUCUUACAAACAGAGGGGCCUUUCUGCAAAAAUAACGCCGCUUUAUUAUUAGGAUAGGAAAAGAUAGGGAAAGAUAAAUAAACAGUCAACAAUGAGGAAAGUCCAGGGGUUUUUGGUCAGGAAUAUGAGAUAUAUAAAUACAUAUCUGGAACCCUGGAUUUAUGCACUAUUUGAUAAAAGUGAUUUGGCAAUUUUAGAGAUAGAAAAAUAAUUCGAGUUUGAACUAAAUUCAAACUUGAGCUAUUUUUGAACCCAACCAAUUCAUCUCCAAAUGAGCUGAGACUUGACAGAAAGGUUGAAGGCAAGGUGUAGGAUUUAUAGAAAAUAAGAGAACAUUUUUUUACUGGAACAAGAAAAUGCCACUUGCAAUAAAUGGGUGACAAUUGAAAGGAAGAAGCUUGUGAUGGGGUGUUGCACUUGAUAAUGUUCUAGAUGGAAAGGGCAAGAUGAAACAGCAAAGAAGAUGAGGAGAAGGAGUUCACAAAGAUAACAAGCACACAACAAAUAUGCACAUGACAAUGAUGAUCAUGAUGCAAAUGCAACAAAAUGACAAAGGCAAUAUCACAUCAUGAAGCAUAGAACAAAGCAAGUGACACAACCAUGGCGAACAAACAAGGAUGGCACAAUGCAAUAUAAUAAAAGAUGAACAUGAUGCAAGAAGCAAAAUAUGGCAAUGGCAUUCAUCAUGAUCAUGGCAACAACAUAGGGAAAAGAAAUAUGCAAAACAAUUAUGACAAUGCCACACACAAUAAUACUCAUGCCACAAAAUAGAAGGGGAAAAGCAAAGAAUGAUGAUGAUGAAGCCACUUAUAUUAAAGCCCACAUGGAAAUCACACAUGACAAGGUUGGAUAGGUUACAAAAUAGGAAGGAUCGCACUUGGGCAGUUGGGCUGUUACAACUCUCCCUCACUAAUAAGAGAUCUCGCCCCAAGAUCUAGGGAUGAAAAGCGGAAAGGAAGAGGAAGAGGUAAAACAAAGUUGCAAGAGAGAAGAUGAAAUAAAGUCAAGAGCACUCGGGUAGAAAAGAGGAACGGCGAUUAUGAUGAGAAUCAAAAGCUCAAGGAACAAGAUAGACUCUGAAACCACUCCGGUUAGAACAAGAUAGAAAAGGAAUAAGAAUGAAAGAAUUCAGAUAGCGUUCGAGUAGAAAAGGAAAGCAGAGAUUGGCAAGAAAAAGGACUUCAAAAGAGGACUUGACACUCCGAUAAAAUGGAUUAGCAAGGCAAGAACAAGGUCUUGGUGAAAUGAGAUGAUGGGCGAAAAGAGAAACAUCACAAUGCCUUCGGAACGAAAGAAUAGAAGCUAAAAUGUUGAAAGGAAAA